CCUACGGGGGGCAGCAGUGGGGAAUUUUGGACAAUGGGGGAAACCCUGAUCCAGCCAUGCCGCGUGUAUGAAGAAGGCCUUAGGGUUGUAAAGUACUUUUGUUAGGGAAGAAAAGCUAGUUUUUAAUAAAAAUUAGUGAUGACGGUACCUAAAGAAUAAGCACCGGCUAACUACGUGCCAGCAGCCGCGGUAAUACGUAGGGUGCAAGCGUUAAUCGGAAUUAUUGGGCGUAAAGCGAGUGCAGACGGUUACUUAAGCCAGAUGUGAAAUCCCCAAGCUUAACUUGGGACGUGCAUUUGGAACUGGGUGACUAGAGUGUGUCAGAGGGAGGUAGAAUUCCACAUGUAGCGGUGGAAUGCGUAGAGAUGUGGAGGAAUACCGAUGGCGAAGGCAGCCUCCUGG
rnacentral:rRNA from 1 species